UAGGGAAUCUUCGGCAAUGGACGAAAGUCUGACCGAGCAACGCCGCGUGAGUGAAGAAGGUUUUCGGAUCGUAAAACUCUGUUGUUAGAGAAGAACAAGGACGUUAGUAACUGAACGUCCCCUGACGGUAUCUAACCAGAAAGCCACGGCUAACUACGUGCCAGCAGCCGCGGUAAUACGUAGGUGGCAAGCCUUGUCCGGAUUUAUUGGGCGUAAAGCGAGCGCAGGCGGUUUCUUAAGUCUGAUGUGAAAGACCCCGGCUCAACCGGGGAGGGUCAUUGGAAACUGGGAGACUUGAGUUCAGAAGAGGAGAGUGGAAUUCCAUGUGUAGCGGUGAAAUGCGUAGAUAUAUGGAGGAACACCAGUGGCGAAGGCGGCUCUCUGGUCUGUAACUGACGCUGAGGCUCGAAAGCGUGGGGAGCAAACAGG
rnacentral:rRNA from 1 species